rnacentral:other from 1 species
UUCCCCCUGCGGUGUUCGAGAAGGCGCACAAUUCCUUUGAACCAAUGCGUUCGCUCUGGCCGCUAGCAUCUACGGCGCGGGUGCGUCGCGUUCCCCUUGCGGAACGCGCCCGAAGCGCCAGGCAGGUGGCCCCCUGGAAACAGGGUUCAAGCGAAUUUUGCCGGACCGACAUCUGUGGGGGGAUC